GUCCACGGCCACGCCACCCUGAACAAGCCUGAUGUCUGAUCUUGGAAGCUAAGCAGGGUUGGGCCGGGUUAGUACUUGGUUGGGAGACCACCUAGGAAGACCAGGUGCUGUAGGUA
rnacentral:rRNA from 1 species